UACGUAGGGGGCCAGCGUUGUUCGGAAUUACUGGGUGUAAAGGGUUCGUAGGCGGUGCGGCAAGUUGGGAGUGAAAUCUCUGGGCUCAACCCAGAGACGGCUUCCAAAACUGCUGUGCUUGAGUGUGAGAGAGGCUCGUGGAAUUGCAGGUGUAGCGGUGAAAUGCGCAGAUAUCAGGAAGAACACCCGUGGCGAAGGCAGGUCUCUGGGCAUUAACUGACGCUGAGGAGCGAAAGCAUGGGGAGCGAACAGG
rnacentral:rRNA from 1 species